rnacentral:lncRNA from 1 species
CUGGCUUGUUGUCUAUAUGUAACGUACAAGUUCAAAGGAAAUUAUCAAUUUUCGUGAAGAAAAUCAUAAAAUACUUAAUCUAAUUAUACCAAUUGUCUUUUAUAAUAUACUAUGUAUUUGUGUUUCGUUUGUCCUGUCUCGCUAUGUAUUAUCUUAGUAUGUUUGUAUAUAUUGUCCUCUUGUACACAAGUAUGUGUUUGAGGUUAUGAAUAAAAUCUUGAAAAUC